GUAACAUGGGUUCCGUAUGUGAACCUUCGUAAGGAUCAUUACUGUUGAAACGUCUCGGCCAGUCGUGUCCCGCAUUGGGGCCUUCUGCGCCAGCGUUUAGCACCCUUGAUUUUGAGCACCUUUUGUUUCCUCGGCGGGUUCGCCCGCCAGCGAGGACCCCCAUGAACUUUUUGUAAUAGCAAUUUUUGUCUGAAAUACAAACAAUAAUCAAAACUUUCAACAAUGGAUCUCUUGGUUCUGGCAUCGAUGAAGAACGCAGCGAAAUGCGAUAAGUAGUGUGAAUUGCAGAAUUCAGUGAAUCAUCGAAUCUUUGAACGCACAUUGCGCAACUCGGUAUUCCGUGGGGCAUGCCUGUUCGAGCGUAAUUUAAACCCUCAAGCUCAGCUUGGUGUUGGGUGCUUGUCCCGCCUCCGCGCGGCGACUCACCUCAAAGUCAGUGGCAGCCCGCAUCAGCCGGCCGUGAGCGCAGCACAGUCGCGCCCUAGGCCCCGGCAGGUCGGCUCUCCAGAAGCACAUCUUCUUAUUUGAACUCGGAUCGGGUUG
rnacentral:rRNA from 1 species